GACAGAAGGGAGCUUGCUCCCGGAUGUUAGCGGCGGACGGGUGAGUAACACGUGGGUAACCUGCCUGUAAGACUGGGAUAACUCCGGGAAACCGGAGCUAAUACCGGAUAGUUCCUUGAACCGCAUGGUUCAAGGAUGAAAGACGGUUUCGGCUGUCACUUACAGAUGGACCCGCGGCGCAUUAGCUAGUUGGUGAGGUAACGGCUCACCAAGGCGACGAUGCGUAGCCGACCUGAGAGGGUGAUCGGCCACACUGGGACUGAGACACGGCCCAGACUCCUACGGGAGGCAGCAGUAGGGAAUCUUCCGCAAUGGACGAAAGUCUGACGGAGCAACGCCGCGUGAGUGAUGAAGGUUUUCGGAUCGUAAAGCUCUGUUGUUAGGGAAGAACAAGUGCAAGAGUAACUGCUUGCACCUUGACGGUACCUAACCAGAAAGCCACGGCUAACUACGUGCCAGCAGCCGCGGUAAUACGUAGGUGGCAAGCGUUGUCCGGAAUUAUUGGGCGUAAAGGGCUCGCAGGCGGUUUCUUAAGUCUGAUGUGAAAGCCCCCGGGCUCAACCGGGGAGGGUCAUUGGAAACUGGGGAAACUUGAGUGCAGAAGAGGAGAGUGGAAUUCCACGUGUAGCGGUGAAAUUGCGUAGAGAUGUGGAGGACCACAGUGGCGAAGGCGACUCUCUGGUCUGUACUGACGCUAGGAACGAAGC
rnacentral:rRNA from 1 species